rnacentral:tRNA from 1 species
GAAGAUUUAGCUCAGUGAUGCAGCACCUGCCUGGCAAGCAUGAGGUCCUGAGUUCGAGUCUCCAUACCUCCA